AGAUUCGUGCAGACCAGGAAGCGGAUAGCGUGGAGUGACGGUGCCACCGCGGCGCAGAGGAGUCUGCAAUGCCGAGUGGAGGAAGGAGGAACCGGAGUGUGAGCAGUAGCUGGGUGGGCAGCAUGGCUGGGAUCACCACCAUCGAGGCAGUGAAGCGCAAGAUCCAGGUUCUGCAGCACCAGGCAGAUGAUGCAGAGGAGUGAGCUGAGCACCUCCAGUGAGAAGCUGAGGGAAAAAGGUGGGCCUGGGAACAGGCAGAGGCUGAAGUGGCCUCCGUGAACGGUAGGAUCCAGCUGGUUGAAGAGGAGCUGGACUGUGCUCAGGAGCGCCUGGCCACUGCCCUGCAAAAGCUGGAAGAAGCGGGAAAAGCUGCUGAUGAGAGUGAGAGAGAUACAAAGGUUAUUGAAAUCUGGGCCUUAAAAGAUGAAGAAGAUGGAACUCCAGGAAAUCCAACUCAAAGAAGCUAAGCACAUUGCAGAUGAGGCAGAUGGGAAGUAUGAAGAGGUGGCUCGUAAGUUGGUGAUCAUUGAAGGAGACAUGGGAUGCACAGAGGAACGAGCUGAGCUGGCAGAGUCCCGUUGCUGAGAGAUGGAUGAGCAGAUCAGACUGAUGGACCAGAACCUGAAGUGUCUGAGUGCAGCUGAAGAAAAGUACUCUCAAAAAGAAGACAAAUGUGAGGAAGAGAUGAAGAUUCUUACUGAUAAUCUCAAGGAGGCAGAGACCCAUGCUGAGUUGGCUGAGAGAUCAGUAGCCAAGCUGGAAAAGACAAUUGAUGACUUGGAAGAUAAACUGAAAUGCACCAAAGAGGAACACCUCUGUACACAAAGGAUGCUGGACCAGACUUUGCUUGACCUGAAUGAGAUGUAGAAUGCCCCAGUCCCACCCUGCUGCUGCUCCUUCCUCUGACCCUGACUCUGCCUGAGGCCAGCCUGCCCGAAGCUGACCUUUACCUGAGGGCUGAUCUUUAACGGGAAGGCUGCUUUCUCCUUUUGCCACCCCCUCCUUCCCUGCCUCUUUUUCACCAAACUGUCUCUGCCUCUUCCUGGAGAUUCCAGCUGGGCUAGAGGCUGAGAACCUUUGCAAACAACAUUUAAGGGAAUGUGAGCCCAAUGCAUAAUGUCUUUAAAAAUCAUGUUGUGAAAAAAAAAAUACAUAAUCACUUCUGAAAGAUGCCUUUGUCACAUCCUAUAAUCAGCUCACAUCAUUUUUUUCUGUACAAGUAUAUUUUCCAGUUAUUUACCUGUUGACCCCAGAAUUUGUUAGAUUUUUAAAAAAACAAUUUCUAAAUAGUUUCUGUUUGAAACUAGUUGCGUCCAGUUCAGAUCAAGGUCUGCAUGCUUUCUAGUCUUUAUUAUUUAUUGGAAAACUUCGGUACCUAAUACAAAAGUUUGAUUGUUUCAGUGUGUACCUGGUAAAGAAUCAGUGACCUUUUACCUUAACAUCAAAAUGUAGUUUAACCAGUUAAUGUAUUUUUCAGUUUUCUUUCCUUAUGUCAUCUGUGAACAUCUUGAGCUGUGAGCUAUUAAGUGCAUGUUUCCCUCAAGGCCCUCUGGUCCAUUCUGGACUAAUGUUGAAAGAUGGGAUGGAUUGGCAUGGAACUGUUGGGGUGAUCAGACCCAACACCGGGCUGUGGGGGCUAAGAAGUCCAGUGGAGUCAAAGGAAUGAGAAAAGACAAGUUAAGAAUGCAUAAGGUGGGUCCAGGGGGCCAACGCUAGUAUGGAGGCUGCAAUAGACCUGAGCUCUGGAAGCCCACACUAUUAGUGAUCAAACAAAGCAGCAGGUGGUGAGGAUGUGGGGUUUGAAAGGAAGCAGUGCAUCAAGCACAUGAUCUAUAGGUGUGUCAGGUUAACAUUUAUAUGGAACAUGUUCUGCUACUUGAGAUCAUGGGGAACAUAUUCUUCUAGUUUAAGAUACAAUCAUUUUAUGAGUCUGGGAGUGCUAGAAGCAAAGAACCAUCAAGUCUAGGCACAUUCCAGAGGCCACGAGGGGUUUUAUGCCCUGAAACCUGGAUUCCAUCCAAGCCACAAGGGGUUUGUUGGGGAAAGAAAGAGAGAUCAGACUGUUACUGUGCCUAUGUGGAAAGAAGAAGACAUAAGAAACUCCAUUUUGUUCUGUACUAAGAAAAAUUCUUCUGCCUUGAGAUGCUGUUAAUCUGUAACCCUAGCCCCAACCCUGUGCUCACAGAAACGUACUGUGUUGAUUCAAGGUUUAAUGGAUUUAGGGCUGUGCAGGAUGUGCUUUGUUUAAAAUGUGUUUGCAGGCAGUAUGCUUGGUAAAAGUCAUCACCAUUCUCCAGUCUCAAAUACCAAGGGACACAAUGCACUGCAGAAGGCCACAGGGACCUCUGCCCCAGAAAGCCUGGGUAUUGUCCAAGGUUUCUGCCUGCUGAGACAGCCUGAGAUAUGGCCUCAUGGGAAGGGAAAGACCUGACUGUCCCCCAGCCCAACACCCGUAAAGAGUCUGUGCUGAGGAGGAUUAGUGAAAGAGGAAGACCUCUUUGCAGUUGAGAUAAGAGGAAGGCAUCUGUCUCCUGCUCGUCCUGGCAAUGGAACGUCUCGCUGUAAAACCUGAUUGUACAUUCUAUUUACUGAGAUAGGAGAAAACCGCCUUAUGGCUGGAGGUGAGACAUGCUGGCGGCAAUACUGCUCUUUACUGCACUGAGAUGUUUGUGUAAAGUCAAACAUAAACCUGGCCUACAUGCACAUUGAGGCACAGCACCUUUCCUUAAACUUAUUUAUGACACAGAGACCUUUGCUUACGUUUUCCUGCUGACCCUCUCCCCACCAUUAGCCUGUAGUCCUGCCACAUUCCCCUCACUGAGAUGGUAGAGAGAGUGAUCAAUAAAUACUGAGGGAACUCAGAGACCAGUGCCGAUGCGGGUCCUCCGUAUGCUGAGCGCCGGUCCUCUGGGCCCAGUGUUCUUUCUCUAUA